AGGACCGCUACGAGAACGGCUACGUGCACCCCGUCAACCUGACUUGGCCAUUUGUGGUCUCAGGACGACCCGACGCUGACACCAAAGACGUCUCUGCCGCCAGCAGAUUAUGUGGAACUACCGCUUAGCCAAAGUAAUUUUUUUCCCUUGUCGAUCUUUUUUUAUGGGCUGGAUCUUUUUAAGAGCUAUGAUUUAUCGGCUCGAGACCCGGAGAUGGGGACCACACCCCAUCUCUAUGUGUUAAAUCUGUGUUUCCCCUCAGUUCUUUCCCUUAGAGCUCUGAGGGAAGUCUAUUUAAAGCAGUAAAGGAAGGAGACGCUGGAAAGGAGAGCUGUUACGAACUGGCUGCAGCCGCUGAAGUCUGAGAUUUGGAAAAGCCUUUCUUGGGCUUUGCCAUUCGUGCCACUGCCUGAGGACCUGUUGUUCUGAGGCUAUUAAACUAAUGGAAGAGGAACAGAAUGUUACAGAAUUAACAGCAUGGACCAAAACACAACUCUACAAACUAACCCCAAACAGUGUUAUUUGUAUUCUAAAGCAAAGCAGUAUUUUAGAGUAGCUUUGAAACUCAGAUUUAUAAUAUAUUUUGAUGGCUUUUGUAUUCACGGGUCGGGUUUACUGCAACUAUGCAAUAAGUGUAAUCAUUCUUUGUUUUUGUCCUUUUAACCGGAGUUUUCUUGAAAAUAUGUAAGCAGCUACAUUCUGCAUUUAGGCUACCACCUAAUGGAAUGAAACUAAUUCCUUUGGUUAUGCCUUAGAGUGCCACAUGUAAGAAUGUGGGACUGUCCCCAAGAUGUGGCACAAUUUCUGCAUCUUAAUAUGGAGGAGAAAUUCUGCUCACUGAAAGGCCAGGGUGCAUGUGCUGUAAAGAAUCAAUUGUGUGAUGCUGCAAGGAUUCACAACGUGUUAAACAUUUUUUCUAUACUGCUAUGCUUCCCUUUGAUAAGUUGACCGUCAAAUGAGUUCUAGUGAUGUUUCUUCACUAAUCCGAAUGCUGUAAUAAAAGGAGGAUGCCAUCAAAUAAGUUGCAAAUGUAAAUAACUUUAUUUUUUAUAAAUGACAUUAAAAGCUUGGUUACAAUGACUAAUGA